rnacentral:rRNA from 1 species
CGGGACGGGUGAGUAAUGUCUGGGAAACUGCCUGAUGGAGGGGGGUAACUACUGGAAACGGUAGCUAAUACCGCAUAACGUCGCAAGACCAAAGAGGGGGACCUUCGGGCCUCUUGCCAUCGGAUGUGCCCAGAUGGGAUUAGCUAGUAGGUGGGGUAACGGCUCACCUAGGCGACGAUCCCUAGCUGGUCUGAGAGGAUGACCAGCCACAUGGAACUGAGACACGAUCCGG